UGGGGAAUAUUGCACAAUGGGCGAAAGCCUGAUGCAGCGACGCCGCGUGAGUGAUGACGGCCUUCGGGUUGUAAACCUCUUUCAGCAGGGACGAAGCGCAAGUGACGGUACCUGCAGAAGAAGCACCGGCUAACUACGUGCCAGCAGCCGCGGUAAUACGUAGGGUGCAAGCGUUGUCCGGAAUUACUGGGCGUAAAGAGUUCGUAGGCGGUUUGUCGCGUCGUUUGUGAAAACCAGCAGCUCAACUGCUGGCUUGCAGGCGAUACGGGCAGACCUGAGUACUGCAGGGGAGACUGGAAUUCCUGGUAUAGCGGUGAAAUGCGCAGAUAUCAGGAGGAACACCGGUGGCGAAGGCGGGUCUCUGGGCAGUAACUGACGCUGAGGAACGAAAGCGUGGGUAGCGAACAGG
rnacentral:rRNA from 1 species